AUUGAACGCUGGCGGCAUGCCUUACACAUGCAAGUCGAACGGCAGCACGGGUGCUUGCACCUGGUGGCGAGUGGCGCACGGGUGAGUAAUACAUCGGAACAUGUCCUGUAGUGGGGGAUAGCCCGGCGAAAGCCGGAUUAAUACCGCAUACGAUCCACGGAUGAAAGCGGGGGACCUUCGGGCCUCGCGCUAUAGGGUUGGCCGAUGGCUGAUUAGCUAGUUGGUGGGGUAAAGGCCUACCAAGGCGACGAUCAGUAGCUGGUCUGAGAGGACGACCAGCCACACUGGGACUGAGACACGGCCCAGACUCCUACGGGAGGCAGCAGUGGGGAAUUUUGGACAAUGGGCGAAAGCCUGAUCCAGCAAUGCCGCGUGUGUGAAGAAGGCCUUCGGGUUGUAAAGCACUUUUGUCCGGAAAGAAAUCCUUGGCUCUAAUACAGUCGGGGGAUGACGGUACCGGAAGAAUAAGCACCGGCUAACUACGU
rnacentral:rRNA from 1 species